GACGAACGCUGGCGGCGUGCUUAACACAUGCAAGUCGAACGGAAAGGCCCUGCUUUUGUGGGGUGCUCGAGUGGCGAACGGGUGAGUAACACGUGAGUAGCCUGCCCUUGACUUUGGGAUAACUUCAGGAAACUGGGGCUAAUACCGGAUAGGAGCUCCUGCUGCAUGGUGGGGGUUGGAAAGUUUCGGCGGUUGGGGAUGGACCCGCGGCUUAUCAGCUUGUUGGUGGGGUAGUGGCUUACCAAGGCUUUGACGGGUAGCCGGCCUGAGAGGGUGACCGGCCACAUUGGGACUGAGAUACGGCCCAGACUCCUACGGGAGGCAGCAGUGGGGAAUAUUGCACAAUGGGCGGAAGCCUGAUGCAGCAACGCCGCGUGCGGGAUGACGGCCUUCGGGUUGUAAACCGCUUUCGCCUGUGACGAAGCGUGAGUGACGGUAAUGGGUAAAGAAGCACCAGCUAACUACGUG
rnacentral:rRNA from 1 species